AAAUGUAUUGGCGGGGCACAUUUAUUACAAUGGUGUCUCAACAGUGAACAAUUCUUCAGUACCCAUUUACAGUCAUGAUAUUUUUCUGUGCAAAUAUUUCCACAUCUACUUUGUUGACAAAAAGAAUAAUUCCAUAAUUUUUCAUAGCUUUAUUGGAACCACCAUAAAAACCACUCCACUUGUCUGAAAGCUGUGUAGAAUCCUGAUUGCAAAUAGCAGACCAUUUCAUUUCUUUGCCAGGUGCUGAAGAUUUGAGAUCCAGGAAAAUUUUGCUCCAGUGUUGUCGAAUAUUUUAACAAUCUUGUUCCAUCAAUUCUGGUCUUCUUAUUAACUGAUAUUUAUUUUUAGAUUUGUUAAGUUAUGUAUCGUGAUAAAUGUUUUCUUAAUAUUUAAUUGAUUAUCAGUAAAAAAGUUUUUAACCCCAGGUUUGUCAUUUCUUUUGUACCUUUUUGUAAUAAAUAUCUUAUUGCAACUGUUCCAGGUAAAAUGAACUAUUUCUUCCACCAACAGCAGGGGUAUGUCAACAUCCCAUUUUUUGGUACUGCGUUUUCUGUGAGUGUAUGGCCCAUGCACUGCACUCUUAGAUAAAAAUAUUAUAAGGAAAGAGGCAUUGCUGUUUGAGAUCAUUUGGAAGACCAUUUGAAUCCAAGAAAAAAGAGAUUGCUACUUAUGGACUCCAGAAAAAGUGACUGCCAAGCUACCCUUCAUAAUAAACGCGUAAAAGUGAUUCCUGAGUAUUGUAUACAGUCAGUGAAUGAACAAUGGGCGACCAAAAAAAGAGUUAUUGACCAGCUUAGAAAAGCUUCGGAGUCAUCUGAAAAGCCUGACAGCCACCUUCAUUUCUAUCUGGUCGCUUCCCAAGUAACUCAGCAUACAUGCUACUGAGUGUGUUGAAGCAAAUGGGAACAUAUGUCAUUUGCUUGAGGAUACAGACAUUGAGCAUCAUGUUCCUGAAUGCUCAAACACUCAUUCGCAGCAACUUGAGGCAAGGGAGUUGUGUGAACAGAUUAAAAAUCUCAUGUUCAAUUCCAGUAACAGUGAAGCCUCGCAAAAAGUUCUUGAAUCGCUAAGAAACUGUGUGUUAAUCAAAGAGGUUCUGGUGUGAAGACCUAUAUUGUACAUAUAGUAAGGCCAGUAAUACACAAUGAGAUAUUCUUUGAGAAACAAAAGUGAUCAAAUAUCCUUCAUAUUUUCUUUCACAAAGAUCUUUGACAUCACAGUUCAUUCAGAAUGGCUGACAAAGACUUACUACUGUGCUUUGCAGUUAUGUGUACCACAAUUGCAUUUUAUUUACAUCUGGAAGAGAAGAAGAAAAGAAAAAGAGAAAACGUACUUGGCAAGACGCUAAAAGCAUCCAGCAAAAUUUGUUACGGGAGCUGCAAAUCAAGGAUGUAAAGUCAUAUGAAAAUUACUUGCAAAUGGACGAGAGUAAAUUUCAUUGUGUGCUCAAGAAAGUGGCUGCUCAUAUUAUGAAGCAGAACGCUCACUUUAGAAAUGCUAUAUAUGCAAAAAGACAGACUUACCAUAACACUGUGAUUUCUUGCAACAGGAGAAAGCUACUGUAGUUUACAGUACAACACUUGAAUACUGCAGUGCACAUUUUUGAAAGUACCAG